AUACGGAGGGUCCGAGCGUUAUCCGGAAUCAUUGGGUUUAAAGGGUCCGUAGGCGGGAAUCUAAGUCAGUGGUGAAAUCUUGCAGCUCAACUGUAAAAUUGCCAUUGAUACUGGAUUUCUUGAAUUAGUGUGAAGUGGUUAGAAUGUGUAGUGUAGCGGUGAAAUGCAUAGAUAUUACACAGAAUACCAAUUGCGAAGGCAGGUCACUAACACUAUAUUGACGCUAAGGGACGAAAGCGUGGGGAGCGAACAGGAUUAGAUACCCCGGUAGUCC
rnacentral:rRNA from 1 species